AUGAUCACAGAUAAUAGUUUUGAUGUACUCUGCUUGACUGAAACCUGGCUAAAACCAAAUGAUUAUAUUGGUCUAAAUGAGUCUACUCCACUAAACUACUGUCAUAAACAUGAGUCCCGUCAGACUGGUCGUGGGGGAGGUGUUGCAACAAUAUAUUGUGAUAUUCUCAAUGUUACCCAGAAAACAGGAUACAGGUUUAAAUCAUUCGAAAUACUUCUGCUUAAUGUUACACUGUCAGAUAUGCAAAAGAAAUCUAUUGUAUCUCUUGCUCUGGCUACUGUGUAUAGACCACCAGGGCCAUAUACAGAAUUCCUAAAAGAAUUUGGAGAUUUCCUCUCAGACCUGUUGGUUACCGCUGAUAAAGCGCUAAUUUUCGGAGAUUUUAACAUUCAUAUUGAUAAUACAAAUGAUGCAUUAGGACUUGCGUUUACUAACUUAUUAAACUGUUUUGGAGUAAAGCAAAAUGUCACCGGGCCCACUCAUCGUUUUAAUCAUACGCUAGACUUAAUUAUAUCGCAUGGAAUCGAUAUUACUGACAUAGAUAUCGUACCUCAAAGUGAUGAUGUUACUGACCAUUUCCUUGUAUCGUGCAUUCUGCGUAUUAAUAAUAAUAACUAUAUAGCUUCGCGUUAUCGUCCGGGCAGAACUAUUGUUCCAGCCACCAAAGACAGAUUCGCAAAUAACCUGCCUGAUUUAUCUCAACUGCUCUGUGUACCCAUAAAUACACAUGAACUAGACAAAAUGACUGGCAAUAUGGGCACUAUCUUCUCUAAUACAUUAGAAGCUGUUGCCCCCAUCAAAUUGAAAAAGGUUAGAGAAAAACGUACUGUGCCAUGGUACAACAGUAAUACCCACGCUCUCAAGAAAGAAACUCGUAGUCUUGAGCGCAAAUGGAGAAAAACUAACUUGGAAGUUUUUAGAAUUGCGUGGAAAAACAGUAUGUCCAGCUAUAGACAGGCUCUAAAAACUGCCAGGGCCGAGCAUAUCCACAAACUCAUAGAAAACAACCAAAACAAUCCAAGGUUUUUAUUUAGCACAGUGGCUAGAUUAACAAAUAACCAGACGCCACCCGAUCUAAAUAUUCCCUCACAGUUAAAUAGUAAUGACUUUAUGAAUUUCUUCACUGAUAAAAUAGAUAACAUCAGAAAUACAAUAACAAAUGUAGAUUCUACAGCGUCUAAUACUUUAGUUUUAUCUAUCGCACCCAAAGAUAAACUGCAGUGCUUUACAACUAUAGGACAAGAAGAGCUUAAUAAACUUAUCACUGCAUCUAAACCAACAACAUGUUUAUUAGAUCCUGUACCCACUAAAUUACUGAAAGAGUUGUUACCUGUAGCAGAAAAAACGCUUCUCAAUAUUAUUAACUCAUUGUUAUCUUUAGGUCACGUCCCAAAACCAUUCAAGCUGGCGGUUAUUAAGCCUCUUAUUAAGAAACCACAACUAGAUCCUAGUGAACUGGUAAAUUACAGAUCCAUUUCAAAUCUUCCAUUUAUGUCUAAAAUUGUAGAAAAUUUGUGUCUGCUCAUUUGUGCUCCUUCCUGUAAAAAAAAAAAAAAAAAAAAAAAAAAAAAAAGAUCCCUAUGA
ensembl:lncRNA